rnacentral:pre_miRNA from 1 species
UUGCAGGUGCAGCAUCAUCCAGAUUCACAUAAACUAGCUAGGGCAGAAAUUUUUCUGCACUGAUAUGAGAAUCUUGAUGAUGCUGCAUCGGCAA